rnacentral:rRNA from 1 species
GUGCCAGCAGCCGCGGUAAUACAGAGGGGGCAAGCGUUAUUCGGAAUUAUUGGGCGUAAAGGGCGCGUAGGCGGUGUCUUAAGUGGGAUGUGCAAUCCCCGGGCUUAACCUGGGAACUGCAUCCCAGACUGGGACGCUGGAGUACUGGAGAGGGUGGUGGAAUUCCACGUGUAGCGGUGAAAUGCGUAGAGAUGUGGAGGAACACCAGUGGCGAAGGCGGCCACCUGGACAGUAACUGACGCUGAGGCGCGAAAGUGUGGGUAGCAAACAGGAUUAGAUACCCUGGUAGUCC